GACGAACGUUGGCGGCGUGCCUAAUACAUGCAAGUCAACUGAAAUACCGGUAGCAAUACUGGUAUGGAGGUGGCGCACGGGUGAGUAACACGUAGGUAAUCUGCCUUCAGGUCUGACAUAACCCAUCGAAAGGUGAGCUAAUAUCAGAUGAUGCAGCGGCUUGACAUCAGGACAGUUGUUAAAGCUUCGGCGCCUGAAGAUGAGCCUGCGUCUGAUUAGCUAGUUGGCGGGUAACGGCCACCAAGGCUGCGAUCAGUAGCUGGUCUGAGAGGAUGAUCAGUCACACUGGAACUGAGACACGGUCCAGACUCCUACGAGAGGCAGCAGUAAGGAAUAUUGCUCAAUGGCCGAAAGGCUGAAGCAGCAACGCCGCGUGAGGGA
rnacentral:rRNA from 1 species